rnacentral:tRNA from 1 species
GAAAUAUACAUAAAAUAAGCUUCUAACUUACUUUUCUAGCGGAAACCCGUUAAUAUUUCU